rnacentral:rRNA from 1 species
GGCCAGACUCCUACGGGAGGCAGCAGUGGGGAAUAUUGCACAAUGGGCGCAAGCCUGAUGCAGCCAUGCCGCGUGUAUGAAGAAGGCCUUCGGGUUGUAAAGUACUUUCAGCGGGGAGGAAGGCGAUAAGGUUAAUAACCUUGUUGAUUGACGUUACCCGCAGAAGAAGCACCGGCUAACUCCGUGCCAGCAGCCGCGGUAAUACGGAGGGUGCAAGCGUUAAUCGGAAUUACUGGGCGUAAAGCGCACGCAGGCCGGCUGUCCAGGCGGAUGUGAAAUCCCCGGGCUCAACCCGGGAACUGCCUUCGAAACUGGCAGGGUGGAGUCCUGGAGAGGGGGGUAGAAUUCCAGGUGUAGCGGUGAAAUGCGUAGAGAUCUGGAGGAAUACCGGUGGCGAAGGCGGCCCCCUGGACAAAGACUGACGCUCAGGUGCGAAAGCGUGGGGAGCAAACAGGAUUAGAUACCCGCGUA